UACGAAGGGGGCUAGCGUUGUUCGGAAUUACUGGGCGUAAAGCGCACGGUAGGCGGACAUUUAAGUCAGGGGUGAAAUCCCAGAGCUCAACUCUGGAACUGCCUUUGAUACUGGGUGUCUUGAGUAUGGAAGGAGUAAGUGGAAUUCCGGAGUGUAGAGGUGAAAUUCGUAAGAUAUUCGGAAGAACACCAGUGGCGAAGGCGACUUACUGGACACAUAUUGACGGCUGAGGUGACGAAAGCGUGGGGAGCAA
rnacentral:rRNA from 1 species